rnacentral:rRNA from 1 species
UGGUGGAGCGAUUUGUCUGUUAAUUCCGAUAACGAACGAGACUCUGGCCUAUUAAAUAGUUCGCCGAUUCCGAUCUGUCGGCGUUAACUUCUUAGAGGGACAAGUGGCUUUUAGCCACGCGAGAUUGAGCAAUAACA